GGUGGUAACCAUUCUGACAGGUAUGAGGUGAUAUCUCACUGUAGUUUUGGUUAGCGUUUCCUUGAUGAUUUUCAGGAUGAUGUUGAGUAUAUUUUCAUGUGCCUGUUGGCCAUCUGCAUUUCUUCUUUGGAAUAACAUCUAUUCGGUUCUACCCUUUUAAAAUCAGGUUGAUUGGUUUUUUUGAUGUUGAGUUAUAUGAGCUGCAUAUAUAUAUGUUAGAUAUUAGCCCCUUGUCGGUGACAUCAUUUGCAAAUAUUUUCUCCCAUUCAGUAGGGUGUCUUCUCAUUUCAUUGAUCGUUUCCUUUGCUAUGCAAAACCUUUUAAGUUUAAUUAGGUCUCAUUUGUUUAUUUUUGCUUUUAUCUCCUCUUUAGAGGACAGAUCCCCAGAAAUAUUGCUAUGAUUUAUGUUAAAGAGUGUUCUGCCUGUUUUCCUCUAGGAGUUUUAUACUAUCUGGCCUUACAUUUAGGUCUUUAAUCCAUCUUGAGUUUAUUUUUGUGUAUGGUAUUAGAGAAUUUUCGAACUUCUUUUUCUUUUUUCUUUUCUUUGGCCGCACUUAAGGCAAAUGGAAGUUCCUAGGCCAGGGGUCAAACCUGACCCACAUCAAUGACAAUGCUGAAUCCUUAACUGCUAGGCCACCAGGGAACUCCUCUAAUUUCAUUCUUUUACAUGUAUCUGUCCAGUUUUCCCAGCACCAUUUAUUGAAAAGACUGUCUUCUCCAUUGUAUAUUUUUGUUGGGUAGCUUUUAAAGAAAGUUCCCCACUGAGAUGGGUGGUUCUCCCCUCUGCUCUCCAAUGUACCAGGCUUAACUCUAUUGUUGGUGUAUUAUGAUAGGCUGACACUUGCUGUUGACAUUGAUCAAAGAAGGUAGGGAGCCUGGUAUAGUUCUAUACAUCUCUCCUGGUCCUUUGUAGGUGUAAGCAUCUUAAUGCAUUGACCUGUGGAACUUUGAGGAACAGUGAUUGGGCCAGGACACUGCAGUUGAAGUCUGAAGUUAUUUAUGACCCAGAGUGAGCAUAUGCUUUGCCCACAAACAACAUCUACAUACCCUCAUACACAAUUUGCCCCCUCCAAUUCACUCAAAGGCCCUGCCUUGACCAGGGGCAGUAGUGACGUAAUCUCAUACUCCUGUAGACAUCAAACAGACGUGGGAACUGAGAGUGUCACAGGCAGGAAGGACUGAGCACAGAGAUCUGAAAAAAUGACCCCUGGGUGGCACUAAGUGGGGUUGUGGCUGUGGGCUCUGCCUCUGUAACUACGUUGCCCACAGUCUGAGCUGUGUGUCAUCUUAUAAAUUACUGACCAGAGUCGAGUUUCCUACCCACUCCCUACCCCUUGGAAAGGUACACCUGUGGGCAACCGCAAUGGUGGUGACCAAUUAGGGAGUGCCAUCUUUGCUGGAGUAGGGAGUUAGUUGCCGGAGGGGUAAGGGAAGCAAGGACUUUACCGUGAUGAGUAUGAACAACAGAGGGCAAUUAUAUAAAUGGUAAAGACUAAAUGAAAUAAAGAGAAUAAACAGCAAAUGAGAGAACUCUGCAAAACCACGGACCAUGGAGCCAGCUCUACCUAUUAGAGCCUCAUGAUCUUGGGCAAGUUGUCCAAUGUCCAUGCUGCAGGCUCUCCAUCUGUAAAAUGGGAAUAAUAAUAGAACCUACCCUAGGUGGUACUAUUAUUCAUAAACACAACUUAUUGUUUAUAAAGGCUUGGAUCAGUGGCUGACACACCAUAAGCACUAUAUUGCUUAACAAAUAGUACUGUAUUGCUCAAAAAUAAAAAUUAAACGUCUCAUUCUCUUUUAAUCACUGUGUACCUUCACACUACUUCAUGGUAUCUCCUGGGUUUGCAAGAGGGGUGUGUACAUCUUUAAGCUGGUGAGCUUUAAAAAAAAAAAAAAAAGUGAACAAAAGGGAAACAGCUGCUUUGUUUUUGAAAAGAUCUGCCAAGUUCACGUAGUUAAAUUUAAUGGCUGGGUGUUUUAAACCCUGGAGAACAAUGUAAUUUGUGUCAUCACUGCUACAAAGGAUGCCUCUUUGGCGAGAAUUUCAUUUCGGUCGCCUGAAGACCUAACUUGAACAAAAGAAGCAAAAACAAACACAAAUACAGUCAUGGAAAAACUCUAAUUAGGCUUUGGGGAAAGAUUGUCCAGUCCUGUCUUGUCUUUGCAGAGCAGAACAAAAAUAACAUUAGCACCUGCAAAGUUAUUUCUCUCACCAAAUAUUUUAAUUUUUUAAGUAAUAUUUUGUGAAGAACUAGUUAUAAUUCUAGGAAGUGGGAGAGUAUUGAGAGAUGGGGCUGGGCUGUGUACAGAUAUCUGAAUGUUUAGUACCUGUUUCACUUGCAGUAUCUCUUCUAAUUCUCCCUAAACUCUGUGCAGGAGAUAUUCCCCCCACUUCCGAGAGAACACUCAAGCUCAAAGAGGUUAAGUCACUUAACCAAGUUCAUACCCCCAGUAAAUUAUAGAACUAGAGUUUGACUCUAUGUCUGCUGAUUCUGGGGCAACAAAUACACUUGAAAGUUGGUUUGUUCGGGGGUUUGGGUUGUUUUUUGGUUUUUGGUUUUUUUUGGUUUCCAGGGUCACAUCUGUGGCAUAUAGAAGUUCCCAGGAUAGGGUUUGAAUUGGAGCUACAGCCACAACAACGAUACGAGUCAUGUCUGCAACCUACACCAGAGCUCAUGGCAAUGCUGGAUCCCUGACCCACUGAGCGAGGCGUGAGAUUGAAUCCACCUCUUCAUGGAAACUAAUUAGAUUCAUUUCUGCUUCCCCAACAACAGGAACUCCUGGUUUGUUCAUUUUUUUGUAAUGGGAACAAAGUAUUUACAUUUGAAUCUCUUUCAUAUAGUUGCCAUCUAAGAUUUAAGUUUUCUUCAUGCAAGACAGAGAUUUUCGCUUCACCACAGCCUCUGCAUGUGGGGAGUAAUCAUGGGAAAGAACUUUAUGAUGACAAUGACAACCUUGGAAGACAGCCAUCAACCAAUGACUUCAUCUUGGUUGGAAGCCUCAGUUUCCACAUGUUAGUACAAGAAGUCCCAAUGAUUUGACAAAAAUCCAUAUCUUGUGACACAAUUCAAAAGAGACAGUGAUGAUUAAGGCUGUUGUUAUCCAUUCAUAAGGGGAGUUGGCCAUCUUGUAGUAUUUCUAAUUGAUACAGAGAAAAACUGGGAGAGAAAAGAUUCUUGAAUACAGAAAGGACUAAGGAAUUCUGCUGCUUUCCUCUUCAAGGGCGUUAUUCCUAAACUAUAUUGUUUGUCACCCCGUAUCACAAGGGAAUGUGAGAAGAGAGAAAACGGAUAUAAGUGACUCAUACCAGUUGAUAACUAACUGGAAAGGACUUGUUUAUUUGGGCAUAUGAUCUUUGUAACAUGUGGAUUUCCUGUUACUUUUACUCUCAAUAGUCAAAUCUCUUACCCCAGAGAAGGCAAGAAGUAAUUUCCUUUCUUUUCUUGACACUGAGUCAAGCAGUCAGUUGAGUCUGCAAGUAAACUGCAGAGCAGUUCUCUUUAGUUAUUGUUACUGUUGUUGAAUAUAACAGUGUGCGUGUGUGUGUGUGUGUGUGUGUGUGUGUGUGUGUGUGUGUGUGUUCAGAAUGCAUCUGAGGGCAUUUAUGAGAAAAGAUCCUGCACCCUCACUAGAAUAAUCCUUGGGUUAGAGGCUGCACAUGGUUCUUAUAAACAGUAAUUCAGCACCAGUCUGGAGGGGUGAGAAAGACUCCUGGUAUUGCGAAAAUUAAUAAAGAGAAACUUCACUAAACUGGAGACCAGAAGGGAGAGCUCGCACACAUGUACCACUUGAUGUCAACACAGAUGUACCAACGGGAAGGGAUGUACUCACGCCUCCAGCAAGAAGUCACACUACUUUACUAUCACCAGCAGGAAGAAGAAAGAUUUUCUCCUUGCCUGGUAACAGCUCAGCCAAUGAGAGAUGAUCAUAACUCAGCCAAUGAAAAGCCACUAUACUUCAAACUCCUAGUUUCCUCCAAUGGACUUUUUCUUUAUAAAAUCCUCUCUCAACUUCCUCUUUUCCUCUAUAAAAGUGUUUACCUGCCUUUACCUUACUGGGCUGGCAUGAGGUUCAUCAUAAUGGCAAGUCCUGAUCUGCAUUUCUUUGCUGCUCCCAAGUAAACCUGUUUUGCUGGUAAAAUAACUGGCUGCUUUUUUGUUUUAGGUUAACAGUAUACUGAAAAAGGAAGUGCUCUGAGUUCAGAAAACCUGGGCCUGGUCUCAACAUGUUUGAUAACUUUGAGCAAUUAUUGGAAGAGUUAAAUCAACAUACUUGAAACUGCCUUUUUGACUGAACAAGCACUAUACAAUAUUUAAGAUUUAUCAACAGAUUGUGAUAUACAACAGUAAAAUUUGAUUGGGCUUUUUUCUUUUAUGCUAUCUGCUACCUCCUUCUUCUCUCACUAGAGCUUUUACUGCACUUCUCCAAACAUCUAGGAAAACAAAGAAUAGUUUCCUG
rnacentral:lncRNA from 1 species